rnacentral:lncRNA from 1 species
UAUGAACAUGUUAAUGAUUAAGUGGGUAUUGAUAGAAUGAAGUUUGAUUAAGCUUAGAGCUUAGUAGCCACUAUUGAAUUAUUAAGGACCCAUUUGUAAGAGAUGAGGAGAUAAGGAUUUCUUGAUAAAUAAUGGUAGUUUUAGGUUCCUAGAGAAUAUUUACGAAUCUGGAUUUCGAUUCAAUCUGGAAAAUUGAAAGAUAUAUAAAUUUUGGACAUUAGGGUUAUAGGAAUU